AUCCCAUCCCGAACUCGGCCGUUAAGUGCCGUCGCGCCAAUGGUACUGCGUCUUAAGACGUGGGAGAGUAGGUCACCGCCAAAC
rfam:Rhodobacterales bacterium RIFCSPHIGHO2_02_FTLL_62_130 rifcsphigho2_02_scaffold_20847, whole genome shotgun sequence.